UAGCGGGGAAAGAAGACUCUGUUGAGGUUGACCCCAGUCCGACUCUAUGAGGAGCCCUGAAAGGUGUAGCUUAAGUGGAAGGCAUUUUGUCGCUGAUGAAAUACCACUACUUUCAUCGGUUCUUUAAGAGGAGAAUUGAGACGUAGCAGUCUCAAAAUUUUCGAUUUAAGUAUAGCCAAUUGACGGCCGUGUGACUCGCAC
rnacentral:ncRNA from 1 species